CCUUGCCUCCUUCUGGAAGGUAGGAAGAUAGAGAGUGAUCCAUGAUCUCCCCAACCGUCCUAGCUCUUACAGUGGAUCUACGUGGGGGAGCCUCCAUCCAGCUCACCUCUCAGGAGCACCUCCACGUAUAUCUGCAAUGGUAACAUGUCUAGGUGAAGGGAAUAGCCAUAAUAAGUUCAGCGUAUGAAAGGUAUUUUCCUUUUAUCUUGUAUUCUUAUUUACACAAUUUUGUGUGUCUUAUGGGUUAUGUAAAGGAACAUGUUUAUGGGGUGAAUAAACCCUAUUAAUAUACAGUAUCAGGACUACAUAGUCCUAUAAUAUUCUAAGUGCCGUUAUUAAGACAACCUAAAAGUAUAAUGAACAAGUAGUUGAUACACAUAAAAACUGAAUGUUCACAUAAAAACAAAA